UAUGAAGGUCAGGCUGAAGACUUACCCGAUUAGCUGAGAGGUGGUGCAUGGCCGUCGUCAGUUCGUACUGUGAAGCAUCCUGUUAAGUCAGGCAACGAGCGAGACCCACGUCCACAGUUGCCAGCAUACCCUCCGGGGUGAUGGGUACACUGUGGAGACCGCCGCUGCUAAAGCGGAGGAAGGAGUGGGCAACGGUAGGUCAGUAUGCCCCGAAUCUCCCGGGCUACACGCGGGCUACAAUGGUUGGUACAAUGGGCAUCUACCCCGAAAGGGGAAGGAAAUCUCUUAAAGCCAAUCGUAGUUCGGAUUGAGGGCUGCAACUCGCCCUCAUGAAGCUGGAAUCCGUAGUAAUCGCGUUUCAACAGAACGCGGUGAAUACGUCCCUGCUCCUU
rnacentral:rRNA from 1 species